GAGAAGUCCUGAGGGUAUACCGCUGUCCCAGGGUUCUUCUGAUAGUCCACAUUGAUUCAUGACUGCUUCCAAGGAGAGCUUGUGCAUCCAUACAAGGUGGCUUUUGUACUUUGGAUACAAAGGAAAAGAAGAGAGGGACAAAGCAAGAGACAAAGAAGUGCCCUACUUGUGAGCUGCGAAGUUUUCUUCCUUGAAAAGAAUACAAAGUGCAGGAAAGUGUCCCACUUCUCCUCUUUCUUUGUCUUUCCUUUUCUGCCUUGUCUUUUGGUCCUUUCCUUAAAAAAAUCAUCUUUUGGCUAGAAGAGAUUGGAGAAUGGAAUGAGGCAAACAGUGUUUCGAGGGGAAAGAAGAAAAACAAAUCAUGGUUGAUGGAGAUAUUAGAGCCAUAGAAAUGCAAGGGUCA
rnacentral:lncRNA from 1 species